GGGCGAGUGAUGGAAUUGGCAGACAUGCAAGACUUAGGAUCUUGUGGGAGACCGUGAGAGUUCAAAUCUCUCCUCGCCCA
rfam:Candidatus Wallbacteria bacterium GWC2_49_35 gwc2_scaffold_4012, whole genome shotgun sequence.